AACGAACGCUGGCGGCGUGCCUAACACAUGCAAGUCGAACGGGGAUAGGGAGCUUGCUUCCUAUUCUAGUGGCGCACGGGUGAGUAACGCGUAGAUAAUCUGCCUGACGAUCCGGGAUAACAUCUCGAAAGGGGUGCUAAUACCGGAUAAGCCCACGGGGUCUUUGGAUCUUGCGGGAAAAGGGGGGGACCUUUUGGCCUUCUGUCGUCAGAUGAGUCUGCGUACCAUUAGCUAGUUGGUAGGGUAAAGGCCUACCAAGGCUACGAUGGUUAGCUGGUUUGAGAGAAUGAUCAGCCACACUGGAACUGAGACACGGUCCAGACUCCUACGGGAGGCAGCAGUGGGGAAUUUUGCGCAAUGGGCGAAAGCCUGACGCAGCAACGCCGCGUGAGUGAUGAAGGCUUUCGGGUCGUAAAGCUCCGUCGAGGGGAAAGAAGUGUAUUGUGGCUAAUAUCCGCGAUCCUUGACGGUACCCCUAAAGGAAGCACCGGCUAACUCCGUGCCAGCAGCCGCCGUAA
rnacentral:rRNA from 1 species